GUAGGGGGCAAGCGUUGUCCGGAUUUAUUGGGCGUAAAGAGCGUGUAGGCGGCUAGGUAGGUCCGUUGUGAAAACUCGAGGCUCAACCUCGAGACGUCGAUGGAAACCAUCUGGCUAGAGUCCGGAAGAGGAGAGUGGAAUUCCUGGUGUAGCGGUGAAAUGCGCAGAUAUCAGGAAGAACACCCGUGGCGAAGGCGGCUCUCUGGUACGUGACUGACGCUGAGACGCGAAAGCGUGGGGAGCGAACAGGAUUAGAUACCCUGGUAGUCCACGCCGUAAACGAUGGGUGCUAGGUGUGGGCGGUGUCGACUCCGUCCGUGCCGAAGCUAACGCAUUAAGCACCCCGCCUGGGGAGUACGGCCGCAAGGCUAAA
rnacentral:rRNA from 1 species